CCCCCAGAACUGUCCCCACAGCUCUCACCAUGCAGUCUGCCCUCAGUCUGCUUUCCAUCCUCACCCUGCUCCAAGGUGUCCAGGGUGAUGUCCAGCUGGUGGAGUCUGGGGGAGAUGUGAGACAGCCCGGGGGGUCUCUGCGCCUCUCCUGUAAAGCCUCCGGAUUCUCCUUCAGUAGCAGCAACUACGGGAUGAGCUGGGUCCGCCAGGCUCCAGGGAAGGGGCUCGAGUGGCUCGCAGUUAUAGGUACCAAGGAUGGUGAUACAUACUAUGCAGACUCUGUGAAAGGCCGAUUCACCAUCUCCAAGGACAACGCCAACAGCCUGGUGUAUCUGCAAAUGAACAGCCUGAAAACUGAGGACAUGGCCCUGUAUUACUGUGCGAGAGACACAGUGAGAGAAACCACAUCCUGA